AUUGAACGCUGGCGGCAUGCUUUACACAUGCAAGUCGAACGGUAACAGGCCUUCGGGUGCUGACGAGUGGCGAACGGGUGAGUGAUGCAUCGGAACGUACCCAGAGGUGGGGGAUAACGCAGCGAAAGCUGUGCUAAUACCGCAUGUGAUCUGAGGAUGAAAGCGGGGGACCGAGCAGCAAUGUUUGGCCUCGCGCCUUUGGAGCGGCCGAUGUCGGAUUAGCUAGUUGGUGGGGUAAAGGCCUACCAAGGCGACGAUCCGUAUCUGGUCUGAGAGGACGACCAGCCACACUGGGACUGAGACACGGCCCAGACUCCUACGGGAGGCAGCAGUGGGGAAUUUUGGACAAUGGGCGCAAGCCUGAUCCAGCAAUGCCGCGUGCGGGAAGAAGGCCUUCGGGUUGUAAACCGCUUUUGGCAGGAACGAAACGGUGUCCGCUAAUACCGGGCGCUAAUGACGGUACCUGCAGAAUAAGCACCGGCUAACUACGUG
rnacentral:rRNA from 1 species